CAGCACCAGGCCCAUCUACAACAUGUGUGUUUGCAUGGAGUGCAUGUGCAGCCAUGAAGUUGAUCCUGGAUGGUCUUCCUUGAUCUCUCUCUACUUUGUUCAAUGAGGCAGGGCAUGUUGCUGAAUGCAAGGCUCACCAAUUUUUGCAGUCUAGCUAGCCAGCUUGCCCUGGAGACACCUUGCUUUAGGCUCUUCAGUCCUGGGAUUACAGAAGACUACUCUGACUUCCCAGCUUUUCUGUAGGUUCUGCAGAUCAGAACUCUGGUUCUCGCUUGCAGGGAGUGGGUCAGUAUUUUUACCAGAGGAUGGAUUUAGGCAUGAAGAAAUCUUUGGACUUGAAGAAGGUCAUAGCUGACGUCAUCACUGCAGCCAAGAAUAGCCAGCUGUCAAAAGAAGCUCCAAGCCAUACAACCCAGAGCCAGGUAUGAAAAACCAUGAUUUUCUUCCCAGCAUUUGGGAUGUAGAUGUGGGGGGAUCAUAUAAGUUCAAGAUUUUUCCCAGCUACAUAGUGAUUU
rnacentral:lncRNA from 1 species